rnacentral:rRNA from 1 species
GACGGAGGGGGCUAGCGUUGUUCGGAAUGACUGGGCGUAAAGGGCGCGUAGGCGGUUUUUUAAGUGAGGCGUGAAAGCCCUGGGCUUAACCCAGGAGGUGCGUUUCAUACUGGAAGACUAGAGUGCGAGAGAGGAAAGUGGAAUUCCUAGUGUAGAGGUGAAAUUCGUAGAUAUUAGGAAGAACACCUGUGGCGAAGGCGGCUUUCUGGCUCGCAACUGACGCUGAGGCGCGAAAGCGUGGGGAGCAAACAGG